rnacentral:rRNA from 1 species
CCGCAUACGACCUACGGGUGAAAGAGGGGGAUCGCAAGACCUCUCACUAUUGGAGCGGCCGAUGUCGGAUUAGCUAGUUGGCGGGGUAACGGCCCACCAAGGCUACGAUCCGUAGCUGGUCUGAGAGGACGACCAGCCACACUGGAACUGAGACACGGUCCAGACUCCUACGGGAGGCAGCAGUGGGGAAUUUUGGACAAUGGGCGCAAGCCUGAUCCAGCCAUGCCGCGUGAGUGAAGAAGGCCUUCGGGUUGUAAAGCUCUUUCGGCGGGGACGAAAAGGUCCGUGCUAACACCAUGGAUCCAUGACGGUACCCGCAGAAGAAGCACCGGCUAACUACGUGCCAGCAGCCGCGGUAAUACGUAG